GGAUCCGUGGUGCAAUGGUAGUGCGUUUGACUCUAGAUUAGAAGGUUGGGUGUUCAAUUCAUGUUGGGUUUA
rfam:Ipomoea nil DNA, scaffold: scaffold2610, cultivar: Tokyo-kokei standard.